rnacentral:rRNA from 1 species
AGUGAACGCUGGCGGUAGGCCUAACACAUGCAAGUCGAACGGCAGCACAGGAGAGCUUGCUCUCUGGGUGGCGAGUGGCGGACGGGUGAGGAAUACAUCGGAAUCUACCUUUUCGUGGAGGAUAACGUAGGGAAACUUACGCUAAUACCGCAUACGACCUACGGGUGAAAGUGGGGGACCGCAAGGCCUCACGCGAUUAGAUGAGCCGAUGUCCGAUUAGCUAGUUGGCGGGGUAAUGGCCCACCAAGGCGACGAUCGGUAGCUGGUCUGAGAGGGUGAUCAGCCACACUGGAACUGAGACACGGUCCAGACUCCUACGGGAGGCAGCAGUGGGGAAUAUUGGACAAUGGGCGCAAGCCUGAUCCAGCCAUACCGCGUGGGUGAAGAAGGCCUUCGGGUUGUAAAGCCCUUUUGUUGGGAAAGAAAUCCUGUCGAUUAAUACUCGGUGGGGAUGACGGUACCCAAAGAAUAAGCACCGGCUAACUUCGUG